ACACUCCUGCGGGAGGCAGCAGUGGGGAAUUUUGGACAAUGGGCGAAAGCCUGAUCCAGCAAUGCCGCGUGUGUGAAGAAGGCCUUCGGGUUGUAAAGCACUUUUGUCCGGAAAGAAAUCCUUGGCUCUAAUACAGUCGGGGGAUGACGGUACCGGAAGAAUAAGCACCGGCUAACUACGUGCCAGCAGCCGCGGUAAUACGUAGGGUGCGAGCGUUAAUCGGAAUUACUGGGCGUAAAGCGUGCGCAGGCGGUUUGCUAAGACCGAUGUGAAAUCCCCGGGCUCAACCUGGGAACUGCAUUGGUGACUGGCAGGCUAGAGUAUGGCAGAGGGGGGUAGAAUUCCACGUGUAGCAGUGAAAUGCGUAGAGAUGUGGAGGAAUACCGAUGGCGAAGGCAGCCCCCUGGGCCAAUACUGACGCUCAUGCACGAAAGCGUGGGGAGCAAACAGGAUUAGAAACCCGAGUAGUCCCAUGAU
rnacentral:rRNA from 1 species